CCUGCCUCGGCCUCCCAAAGUGCUGGGAUUACAGGUAUCAGCCACUGCGCCCAGCCAAAAAAAAGUUCUGUUAACUAAAGUUUUCAGGAUUCUAAUCCUGUUCAUUAUGUCUGCUGACUCAGAGGAAAUAUUUCCUUAUGUUUUGUAAUUUUUAAUGGUGAGUUCAUUUUAGGUAAAGCUUCGUCUAUGAAAUGUCUGUAUAGUUUGGGUUGACAGAUAAUUAUUUCCAAGUCUUGCAUUUUCUCUCACAAGGCAUCCCAGGAGAACCAGCACCCCCAAAGUGCUUUUUAAUAUUUUUCUGUUUGCAGAUCCUGAUGCAUUAUCCCUAAACUCAAGAGCGGUAUAGGUAAAUAAUUAUGUUUUGUGAGGCUUCUUUUUGGGUUCAACUGUGACACCAAGCUCAGAUGGCCAACUUUCCCUGUCAUCUAUUAAUUAGAUAGAUGUCCACCUGUCCUUUCCCUGGGGUUGUAGUCCCUUUUUUUUUUUUUUUUUUUUG
rnacentral:lncRNA from 1 species